GAAGAGCCUGCAGGCCAGGGAAAGGCAGGGGGAGACAAGACCUUGUCUGGAUGUCCAGCAGGAGCAGGACAUGGAAAGGAGCUGUACUCAUUUGACAGCUCUCUGUCCUCCUUGGACAGUGAGGAUGAGGGUUUCGGCAAGAAAGAAAAGAAGAAGAAGAAGUUGAAGAAGAAGAAGAAAGAUUCCAGCUCAUCAUCCUCAUCAUCCUCAUCAUCC